GACAGAGGGUGCAAACGUUGCUCGGAAUCACUGGGCGUAAAGGGCGUGUAGGCGGGCAGGUAAGUCGGGCGUGGAAUCCCUGAGCUCAACUCAGGAACUGCACUCGAAACUACUUGUCUUGAGUACCGGAGAGGAAAGCGGAAUACCUGGUGUAGAGGUGAAAUUCGUAGAUAUCAGGUGGAACACCAGUGGCGAAGGCGGCUUUCUGGACGGUAACUGACGCUGAGACGCGAAAGCGUGGGGAGCAAACAGG
rnacentral:rRNA from 1 species